UACAGGGGGUGCAAACGUUGCUCGGAAUCAUUGGGCGUAAAGCGCACGUAGGCGGUUCGUUAUGUCGGAUGUGAAAGCCCUUGGCUUAACCGAGGAAGUGCAUCCGAAACUGGCGAGCUAGAGUACGAAAGAGGAUCGCGGAAUUCCCGGUGUAGUGGUGAAAUGCGUAGAGAUCCGGAGGAACACCAAAGGCGAAGGCAGUGUCCUGGGGAGUACCUGACGCUCAGGUGCGAAAGCCAGGGGAGCGAACGGG
rnacentral:rRNA from 1 species